GACGAACGCUGGCGGCGUGCUUAACACAUGCAAGUCGAACGGAAAGGCCCCUUUGGGGGUACUCGAGUGGCGAACGGGUGAGUAACACGUGAGUAACCUGCCCUUGACUUCGGGAUAACUUCAGGAAACUGGGGCUAAUACCGGAUAGGAAUCCUUGCUGCAUGGUGGGGGUUGGAAAGCUUCGGCGGUUUUGGAUGGACUUGCGGCUUAUCAGCUUGUUGGUGGGGUAGUGGCUUACCAAGGCUUUGACGGGUAGCCGGCCUGAGAGGGCGACCGGCCACAUUGGGACUGAGAUACGGCCCAGACUCCUACGGGAGGCAGCAGUGGGGAAUAUUGCACAAUGGGCGGAAGCCUGAUGCAGCAACGCCGCGUGCGGGAUGACGGCCUUCGGGUUGUAAACCGCUUUCAGCAGGGGCGAAGCUUGUGGUGACGGUACCUGCAGAAGAAGCACCGGCUAACUACGUG
rnacentral:rRNA from 1 species